rnacentral:lncRNA from 1 species
CUAAGACUCGGCAGAUAAGGAUGGAGGCGACUCAACAUCACAGAUAUGAGCCCUGCAUUUCUGAAUGCCUUGAAAGAAAAACCAGCAAGUUGGGAGGGCUGUGUCUCCUUAUCGUCUUCCAGGAAUUCAAAACCGUGAUUUCCAGUUUCCAAAUGCAACUCAAACUCCAUCACCCUGUACAUCUUGCACGGUUUCUCCAGCAUAUUCUGAUCACCACCUCCAGACCCUUCUGAUAGAUUCAUUACCUGAAUCUGUUUGAUCCUGAACUCCUGCUCUCCCUUGGCUCAACCUCAUCACAGCCAGAAAGGAUGAGAGCUCUUUAAUGAAGUGGAUACAUGUCAGUUUCCCAGGACACAAACCAAAGUA